CCACUUCAUCAUUUGUUGAGAAACAUCUAAACCAUGUAAGAUAGAUCGUAGGGGAUACUAAGUCAGAACAAUGACCAUAUGCGCUUGAAAGUAUGGUUUGAGCUUUUAAGUUGCAAUAACUGCCAAAUUAGUUUUUCAAUCCUCGGAUAUCUUGUUUUCGUAUGAAGGAGAGCUUUAGAAGUGUAGAAGAUUAACAGUUUGGCCCUUAGCUCUGGUCAUUAGAGGGCAUAGCUUACUGCUACAUUUAAGACUAGCAAGUAGAUGUAUUAUUCCUUGGCUACUUCCAACUUGGAUAGUAGCGGAGGCAAUGUUAAAUAUUUCUUUAAGUGUUGAAAUGCUUUCUUGCACUCGUUGCACCACUUGUCUAUUUGCGCCUUCUUGAUGACCUUGAAAAAGGUGUUGCAUUGAUUGAUUGAGCACGAAAGGAAACGGUUGAGUGCAACUAUGCUUAAUUGUGAGCCGAUUCUAGUCGUCUUCUUCAGUUGCUCGGGAUCAAGAAUGAUGUAUUGGGCGUCCUCUUCUGGCUUCCAUCCUUUUUCUUCUAUUGGUAUGUCCUUUUGAAUGCCAUCAUCUUGAUCCACUUAAUGUGGUUGCUAUGCGGUAGCAAGCUUGUCCUUCUAAACCUUGGCAGCUUCUACAGGAGUGAAGGACUUUUUCGCUCAUUCUUUUAGCAUUUUCAUCGUGCAUCGUUAGGAUGCGGCCGGGUCAGACUUGAUCUCUCCAACUCUUUUUUUUGGGAUGUGGAAUUAGAUUUUCUAGUACUCGAUUGAUGUUAAGAUGCCGAGUUUCACUAACCAGGGCUUUCCCAGAAUCCCGUUAUAAGGAGACGAGUCACUGACUAUUGUGAACUUCUGCUUUGAAACUACUGGCGGUGUUCUCACAUUUAGUGUUAUGUUGUCAAUAACUGUUGAGGUAUGUCCGUUGUAUCUUGUGAGUACCUUUGCUUGGCGUAUUAUCAUGCUCUCUAGGCCCAUUGUCUGAAUGUUGGAUAGCCGAAGUAGAUUUAAUACGUUGAUGCUGUUCACCAUCGUUAUGCCAACUAUAACGCAUGCCAAUUGAACAAACACUACCAAAGCAUCGUCGUGUGAGAAGCCAACUCCCUUAGUAUCCUUUUCGGUGAAACCAACAAUAGGUCCAGGUUUGGUGUAUGCUGCCUGAACCUGGUAGAUUGUUAUAGCAUAUUGGAUCUUUCUCUUCUUAGAGUUGUUUGUGGCCCCUAAGUAUUCCGACUUGGCGAAGAUGUCGUUCAUUCUGAUAGUCUUGGUAAGUUGUUCCUCCUAGGCUGCGCAGCUGGCUUGUCCAGGUAUCUGAGCAUUUACCCUCAUUCACCAGCUUCUCUAAGUAUUCCCAGAGGAUCUGGUCGACUAGGAUUGAGAACUUGGUAUAGUCCUUGGUGGCUUAGCCUCCUUUUGUUAGGGACAGGUCUCCACGCUUGGCCUUCUGCUUGCUUCGGUUGUAAGACUACUUCAUAUCCACUUUCUUCUAGACUGCCUCAAACUCCUUCUGAUGCUACUUAGGUGCCUUGAUUUCCCAUCGGGCCUUAUCUCAAAGUGCAUACUUCUCUGCCAUAGCGAAUGAGUUAGCUAGAGUCAGGUCUUCCUUCAUCAUCAUUCUCCGAAUAGGGCAUGAUCUGCUAGGAGUCCCUUUUCAAAAGUGUUCUAGCACUUAAGUCAUUGUAGCUGAUUAUCUUCACAUUCUUUGCCUUGGACCUCUUGACAUAGUCAUGGAACGACUCCUUUGGAUUCUUCUUGAUGUUGAAGAGAUGAUCGGACUUCUUCUUGAUCGAUCGACAGUAUGAGUACUCAUUAGUUAAAGAUACAUAAAACUUAUCGAAACUUCGGAUGGACUGUAGAUGUAGGGUAUGAAACCAAUCUUUCAUUUCGCCCUGCAAACUAGUGGUGAAUAUUUUGCACAUUAAGGCAUCGUUGGCCCUGUAGAGGAUCAUCACGCUGCAUUAAUGCUUCAAGUGCAUUUUCAGGUCUCUAUCACCCUUGAAUAAGAUGAAAUAUGGCGUAUUGAGCUUAAGUAAGGGCUCCGUCUUCUCAAUCUCGUCCAUGAAGGAUAAUCUACCCAUGUGAGCCAUAUCUCUACAAAGGGCUUCAUCUGUGGUUUGGAUGAGCUGGAAUCCGCACAAUCGCUAUGUUAAAAGGGUCUCUACUUCUUCUUGAAUUUGCCUCUGUCAGAGCAGUAGGGUUUUUGGAUGCCCCUGGUUAGGACCUACUGGUCACGAUUCCUCUUCACUAUGGUCGGCUCGUCUAUGCUAAAGCUGCUAUGUAUGUAGUAAGUUCCCGGGAGGCAAAAUAAUUACUCGUAGGCUGCUAGUUGAACUUGAGCCGAGUUGUGCGACUACUUCUCCCCGUUUGCCUAGCCGUGUAUGAACACACCAACACCCAGAAGGUCCAGAUCCAUGGUUAAUCAACAAAGAUUCCUCCAUGUUUCAGUGUGCGUAAGGUGUGCAUGGAACUGGUGUUCGAAUAGUUGAAACUCGCACGUAUUGUAUUGCUUUCUGCGUGUAGGAAGCACGGAUUGAGUUGAUAACCGAGAGAAAUGAACACUCAAGUUGCAGAUCCAACGAGUCACAAAGGAAAAAUCAACAGUUAAGCUCUUGUAACUGUAAGAGGAAAUAACCCAAAUUGGCAAAGGCAGCUUGAUGUCACAUCCCAAAAACCAAACAAGUGGCCCACAUUGAAGAAUGGCCACGCAGCAAAACAGAAAGAUCCUCAGAAAAUAAAGACUGCUGAAAAGUCCCCUGCAAUGAAGGAACCCACUGCAAUUUUUGCUCCCUUCUCCUUAAAAUCUGCUCAGGUUCUGGAUCAAAUUGAAAUAAUUUUUGCACUACUGAUCGUGUACUCACCAUGCACAGAUUGUUGUAAUCUGCAUUAUUAUACUGCUGUAAUAUGUAAAAAUAAAAUAAAAACGAAAAUUAAAUUUA